UUAAUACUCCCUCCGUCUGGAAAUACUUGUCAUCAAAAUGGAUAAAAGGAGAUGUAUCUAGAUGUAUUUUAGUUCUAUAUACAUCCCUUUUUGUCCAUUUUGAUGAUAAGUAUUUUCGGACGGAGGGAGUACUCU
rnacentral:pre_miRNA from 1 species